rnacentral:lncRNA from 1 species
AGAACAACGGCGUACCGUACGAAGACAGCUGUAACAAUCAUCGUACAAUCGCGUAUGCAACGACUACGAACAGCUGUUGCCCCGUCAACAUAGUGCUGUCCUUAAAGUGACGGCGGUGACGGGCCUCCUCACCUAGUUUUAUAAUUACUUCGGUUACUUGUGCCUAUAAAUUACAAACCACUCGUGCUAUUCGCUCCUGUUGAUGAAAAGUUAACAGUAUAAUGAUGAUUUAAACAACAACAUUAAAAACAAUUUGUCAUGUUUGCGGCUGUUACUUUUAACAAGCGGUAGGUAGCGCUGCGCUUCUUCCUUUUUUUUUUUCCCGCGCCCCAUGGAGAAAAAAAAAAUGGCUCCACACUUUUGUGUUUCUUCACGCAGCAACGUGAUCGGCGUGUUUUCGAUGAUCUCGACGCUCAGCAAGAUCCAUUGUGCAGUGUUAAGUUCAGAAAUGUUUUCCUCAUCGUAUGCAGCACUGAAUUCUCUUGUGCGCUUCGUCGUUUCCGCCCGCUGGAUAUCGACGAUUUUGACAAAGAACUCUACGAAGUCUUGCGGGCUGGCGAGGAAAACGGCAGCACCCACUUACUGCACAUGAGCCAAACUGAGGAAGGGAUGGAGGAGGCGUGAGUCGAACAACAACCGACGUGUGCAGCGGAAACUCGGCGAUGCUCAACUGGGACCGGGAUCACGAAAAAACACCUUUACCUCGAGGCGAAAAAGUGUCCCCUGCAGGACCUCCAGAAGAAACACCAGUCCCCGCAGCGGUACCUUGCACAAGAAUGUGCCAACCUGCACUAUUAAUCCAGCUAGGUUUUCAUGGACAUUUUCAUUAAU